rnacentral:rRNA from 1 species
CACGUAGGCACCAAGCGUUAUCCGGAUUUAUUGGGCGUAAAGAGCUCGUAGGCGGUUCGGUAAGUCGGGUGUGAAAACUCUGGGCUCAACCCAGAGAGGCCACCCGAUACUGCUGUGACUAGAGUGCGGUAGGGGAGCGGGGAAUUCCUGGUGUAGCGGUGAAAUGCGUAGAUAUCGGGAGGAACACCAGUGGCGAAGGCGACUUCCUGGCCUGUUCUUGACGCUGAGGCGCGAAAGCUAGGGUAGCAAACGGG